rnacentral:rRNA from 1 species
UACGGAGGGUGCAAGCGUUACUCGGAAUCACUGGGCGUAAAGAGCGCGUAGGCGGGAUAGCAAGUCAGAUGUGAAAUCCUAUGGCUUAACCAUAGAACUGCAUUUGAAACUGUUAUUCUAGAGUAUGGGAGAGGUAGGUGGAAUUCUUGGUGUAGGGGUAAAAUGCAUAGAUAUCACGCAGAACCCCGAUUGCGAAGGCAGCAUGCCGGCUCCACACUGACGCUGAGGCACGAAAGCGUGGGUAUCGAACAGG